AACGAACGCUGGCGGCAUGCCUAACACAUGCAAGUCGAACGAGACCUUCGGGUCUAGUGGCGCACGGGUGCGUAACGUGUGGGAAUCUGCCCUUGGGUUCGGAAUAACAGUGAGAAAUUACUGCUAAUAUCGGAUGAUGUCUUCGGACCAAAGAUUUAUCGCCCAGGGAUGAGCCCGCGUAGGAUUAGCUAGUUGGUGGGGUAAUGGCCUACCAAGGCGACGAUCCUUAGCUGGUCUGAGAGGAUGAUCAGCCACACUGGGACUGAGACACGGCCCAGACUCCUACGGGAGGCAGCAGUGGGGAAUAUUGGACAAUGGGCGCAAGCCUGAUCCAGCAAUGCCGCGUGAGUGUUGAAGGCCGUAGGGUUGUAAAGCUCUUUUACCCGGGAUGAUAAUGACAGUACCGGGAGAAUAAGCUCCGGCUAACUCCGUG
rnacentral:rRNA from 1 species